UACGAAGGGGGCUAGCGUUGCUCGGAAUUACUGGGCGUAAAGCGCACGUAGGCGGCUUUCUAAGUCGGGGGUGAAAUCCUGGAGCUCAACUCCAGAACUGCCUUCGAUACUGGAAGCUCGAGUCCGGGAGAGGUGAGUGGAACUGCGAGUGUAGAGGUGAAAUGCGCAGAUAUCAGGAAGAACACCCGUAGCGAAGGCGGCACUCUGGGCCGGAACUGACGCUGAGGAGCGAAAGGCGUGGGGAGCAAACAGG
rnacentral:rRNA from 1 species